AGUGAACGCUGGCGGUAGGCCUAACACAUGCAAGUCGAACGGCAGCACAGGAGAGCUUGCUCUCUGGGUGGCGAGUGGCGGACGGGUGAGGAAUACAUCGGAAUCUACUCUGUCGUGGGGGAUAACGUAGGGAAACUUACGCUAAUACCGCAUACGACCUACGGGUGAAAGCAGGGGAACUUCGGGCCUUGCGCGAUUGAAUGAGCCGAUGUCGGAUUAGCGAGUUGGCGGGGUAAAGGCCCAACAAGGCGACGAUCCGGAGCGGGUCUGAGAGGAUGAUCAGCCACACUGGAACUGAGACACGGUCCAGACACCUACGGGAGGCAGCAGUGGGGAAUAUUGGACAAUGGGCGCAAGCCUGAUCCAGCCGUACCGCGUGGGUGAAGAAGGCCUUCGGGUUGUAAAGCCCUUUUGUUGGGAAAGAAAUCCAGCUGGCUAAUACCCGGUUGGGAUGACGGUACCCAAAGAAUAAGCACCGGCUAACUUCGUGCCAGCCGCCGCGGUAA
rnacentral:rRNA from 1 species